rnacentral:lncRNA from 1 species
GACCCAAAGAGCAGGGAGCUGGAAAGAGUUUCAGCACUGGAGCAUCAGUGUCUUUGAAUCUGAAUGUGCUGAUUUCUUGAGCAAAAUUUUACCGUGCUCUCCCUUCUGCAGAUGCAAAAAGAGGUUCUUCAGGUAAGAUCUUCGGCCAACACAUCAAAGCAACUUCCCUUUAUUAUACUUACUUCCCAAAGAAUAGAAAUGCACUGUGAUUCAGAAAAUAUUUCUGAGCCCUGACCCCAUCCCAAAA